GGCCCCAGGGCACACCUGAUCUCAGGCUUUCUCUUCAAGCACACCGUUCAUUAAUCUGUUAAAAGGCCUAGCUCAUGUGUGAAGAUAGAAGCUUCCUCCAGUGAAGCAGCAGCCCCGGCACUGGGCCUGCAGUGGAGACCGGGAAUGAGAGAAGCCCCUGGCGUGGGCUGGCAAGGACGCAGAGCACGGAGAGCACCUGGGGCAGGGCCGGCGCCAACGGCAUAACACAUGCUGCUGCUCCUCUCCCGCGGGGCCCAUGGAGAUGGCUGGAAGCAGCCCAACGUCAGGGCAGAUCCCUACCUUCACACUCACAUAAGAGAAGAGUGAAGUUUCGGGGACUCCACACCUCAAGGUAGUUCCACCGUGCGAGGUGCUGCGCUCACAGUAUUACUCAUGCACCUUUCUGAUAAGAAAAGUGAAAAUGUGAAGUUGAAAACUGAAGACGCCCAGCAACUUCCUGAAUCCAGCCCUCCACGUCCUGCCCUACGGGACGGACGACUCCCAAAGAGGAAUCGUUGGUGGAAGUCCCAUGUUUCGUUGCCGUUGGAAGGGGGAACUGGUCAAGGGCUCAUCUCUGGACCCACACCCCAUAACCAACAUGGAAGCCUGGAUUUGGCCCUGGAUCAGGCUGGCUCCCCAGGGAAGGGUCCAGUCUCUCCGGGGAGACAUCCCGACUUCGGGUCCUGCUUUCUCUACUGUAAUUCGAGGCUGGCCAUGCCCCUCAGUGGGCCUCAGUUUCCUCACCUGUACAGUGGGGAAAUCCAUAGGACCUACCUCCUGGGAGGGCACUGAGGACCGAGGGAAUGAAUGCCUGUCCAGUGCUCAUGAUCGUGACAAGCACUGCGCAGAAUAAAUCCGGAAUAAACGCUCACCGGGUGAGGGAGGGCAGGGAAGAUUUCUAAAAUCCCCCUGAUUUGAGAUGAGAUCUGAUUCACCCACUUAAAAAACCACAUUGGGAAAUAAUUUGAAAUGUACAGGAAAGUUGUAAGAAUCGCACAAAGAAUACUCCCAAACGUUUUGCCCAUACUCACCUGUUUUCUGUGGCAACUUUGAGACAGAAUUCACACGCCAUACAGUUGACCCAUCUCAACUGUACAAUUCAAUGGCCUUUCAUAGUCAGAGUUGUGCAACUGUCACCAGGGUCAAUUUUAGAACGUUUUCAUCACUCUCCUCUCACAAAAAACCCCUCACGUCCCUUGGCUGUCACUCUGCACCUAUUAAUAUUUUUUUGUGUUAAGACUUUUUCUUUGAGAUGGAGUCUCAGUCUGUUGCCCAGGCUGGAGUGCAGUGGCGUACAUCUCGGCUCACAGUAACCUCCACCUCCUGGGUUCAAGCGAUUCUCCUGCCUCAGCCUCCUGAGUAGCUGGGAUUACGGGUGCCCGCCUCCACGCCCGGCUAGUUUUUGUAUUUUUAGUAGAGACAGGGUUUCACCAUGUUGGUCAGGCUGGUCUCGAACUCCUGACCUCGUGAUCCACCUGCCUUGGCCCCACAAAGUGCUAGGAUUACAGGUGUGAAACACUAUGCCCGGUAAAUGUUAAGACUUUUAUGCAUCUUCUUGACCUGUGGUCUUCAGCAUUUGAGUCUUAGGGGACCUUUAAAAUAUUAAGAUAGGCCAGGCACAGUGGCUCAUGCCUGAAAUCCCAGAACUUUAGGAGGCUGUGGUGAGACGAUUGCUUGAAGCCAGGAGUUUGGGACGAGCCUGGGCAUCAUAGUGAGACCCCCAUCUUGGCAAAAAAGUAAACAUAAAAAAUAUUAGCUGGGCAUAGUGGCGAGCAUCUGUAGUUCUAGCUAAUUGGGAGGCUGAGGUGGCAGGAUCCCUUGAGCCCAAGAGUUCAAGAGUAUAGUGAGCUAUGAUUGUGCCACUGCACUCCAGCCUGGGCAAUAGAGUGAGACCCUGUUUCUAAAAAACAAAAGCCAUACUAAAAUACUCUGCAAAGACCUCAUAUUCAUUUAUUCACUCAACAAAUGUUUGUUGAGCACCUGUUUUAUGCCAAGUCCAAUACUAGGAGCUCUGGUUGCAACAGAGAGCAAAACAGACACGGCCCUGCCAGUCACCUGGGGCAGGGAAUCCCCCUGCCCCACUCCCUGCAAUAAUCGAUUGUAGAGAAGAAUUAGCAAAUCACAGCUGAGAAGGGUCUGCUGGAAAACACAGCAGAGGCCUUGACUUUGCCUGAUGAAUGGAGGUGGGCUUCCUGGCAGAGGGGCGUCUGUGGGUGAGGGAGGAAGUAGGACUGGCUGGUCAGAGGGGACGGCACACAGGAAGCUGCUGAGCAGGCAGGAGUGUGCUCCGUGGAGGAGCUAGGAGGAGGCCAGUUCUUAGCUGGAGGGUGGAGAAGGAGGGCUAAAGCCAAGCAUGCAGAGGCCGAGGGAUGUGCAGCGCCGGUCAGCCCACGUGAGAUCUUUCCUCCCUCUCCGUGGACUGGGAACCUCCAUAGUUACCACAUGCUGCGCUGACUUCUCUAACACGCUUUGGCCAAUGAUGUUUCCCUAAUCACAGCAGCUCCUCAUUUAGAAUGUGUUCUUAUUUAGGAUGCGUUCGAGUCUCUGUGAUCUGAACUCCACAUGAGGACUCCCUGGGUCCCUCAGGAACCCAUGUCCUACCAGUUAGACUCCCUUGUUUUAGACCCCUUAUUUCAGCAUUUUAUAAACUCUGUCCCGUAGGAUACUGACCCAUUUGCAACUUAGCCAAAAAAAUGAAAGUUAUGUAGCCAAACAAGCUUUGAAAAUACCCCAUUUCUUUCUGGACGUUUCACAAUGCACAGGAGCAUAUUAAAGGCUCUGAUAAGUCCUGCAGCAAAGAACCAAGUGCUUCCCAAAUGCAGUAGUUCAGGGAACCUCUUUGUUCCAUUACUCCCAUGAAGUUUACAAAACUAGUGCUAUGUGGAAAAUGCUUUGUAAAACACGGAUAAUUCUGCAAGUGAUCUGCCUGAGUGUGGAAUGCAGAUAUCCAGCCAGAGUCUGUAACUUCAGACAUGGUGUGGAAGGCCAAUGUGAAAAGCAGGAAUAGUAGAAUGGUUUUAAAAGGGUUCCCUCUAAUUACUCUUGAGUAGGAAAGUAGGAGCCGCCGACACCUGGGAACUGUCCUGGAGCCCCUGGCCGGGCUGGGCCAUUCUCCGGUUUGACAUAAACCAUCUCCCAGAACACCAGCUGCACAGAAGGUCACUCUGAGAUCACAGUAGUGAGACAAAGACAGGUCACGGUGUCACCCACAAACACCAAUUAUCCCCCUUUCCCCACUAAAAUGAAGAAUGGCUGUUUCUUGACCAAUCUCAGCUUUAUGCUGGUGCCCGUCUCCCCUCUCUAGAGGUGACAGUGAUUGAGGCACCCACUCAGAGAAUUGCCCCCUUUCUUUUGGCUUCUGGUCUACUGAGCCCCACUUCCCUAGACCUUCGCCUUCCCACUACCCACCCAAACCCCAAAUCCUACAGGGGCUCUUCCCAGCACCCUCUCACCCCGAAGUUCCUAUGGGGAGCGUCCACCCUCAUUGCAAGGUGGAAGAAACCUGGCUCUUCAACCAAAGGCCCCCAGGGGAGCGUGGCUGGAGGGCACGACACUCUCAAAAAUAUAUAAUUCUCUGAACAAAAUAUACCUCUGUUCCUUUACAAAUGAAGCAUCUGUUGAAAGUGUGUGGAACUUAUUUUGCAAAGAUAUUCCUUGUGAUAAGGCUUGAUUCCAGGUAACUCUUUUCAAAGUGAGUCACAGACCAGGAAGUCGUAUGGAAUGAGUGAUGGAAAGAUGUAUUUUACACGUUGCCCCUCAAGUCCAAACUUGAACUCAUGUCUCUCUGAACCAGAGUGGAGCUUCCUUCCAUUGCAGCCCCAUAUAUGCUGUCAGGGAGCUAGGGGGCCUGGGAGGGUGGCCACCCUGCACACCGUGUGUUACUGGGUGAGGAUUUGCACGUUUGUGGCUGAGGGGAAGACGUUCACGUUGGAUAGUUGUAAUUUCCAAUCCAGGCCCCAACUCUCUAUAACUGAGUGACUGUGGGUGAGUUUCUCCACGUUCCUGAACCUCAAUUUUCUCAUCUAUGAAGUGGGGAUGCCACUACAAAUCAGGUAGCACCUACAAAUCAGGUUUAAGGAUUUGAGUAGAUAACAUAUGUAAAGUGUUUAGCCAGUACCCUGCCAGCAAAUGGUGACCACCACUGUCACUGUUGUCACUGGUAUUAUCUAGUGGUCAAGGUCAGCGCAUCAGCCUUUGGUCAGUGUUCUUUCUCGGUUAGAGGACUUUUUGACCCCGGGUGUCCAUGAGGGUCACCUGGGGAACCUAAAAACAAUGGACUCCUGGGCUGGCCCCAAGUUUAGGGAGGAACUGGUCCUGG
rnacentral:lncRNA from 1 species